rnacentral:rRNA from 1 species
AUUGAACGCUGGCGGCAUGCCUUACACAUGCAAGUCGAACGGUAACAGGUCUUCGGGUGCUGACGAGUGGCGAACGGGUGAGUAAUACAUCGGAACGUGCCUAGUAGUGGGGGAUAACUACUCGAAAGAGUGGCUAAUACCGCAUGAGAUCUACGGAUGAAAGCAGGGGAUCGCAAGACCUUGUGCUACUAGAGCGGCCGAUGGCAGAUUAGGUAGUUGGUGGGAUAAAAGCUUACCAAGCCGACGAUCUGUAGCUGGUCUGAGAGGACGAUGAGCCACAGUGGGACUGGGACACGGCCCAGACUCCUACGGGAGGCAGCAGUGGGGAAUGUUGGACAAUGGGCGAAAGCCUGAUCCAGCAAUGCCGCGUGCAGGAUGAAGGCCUUCGGGUUGUGAACUGCUUUUGUACGGAACGAAAAGCCCCGGGUUAAUACCCUGGGGUCAUGACGGUACCGUAAGAAUAAGCACCGGCUAACUACGUGCCAGCCGCCGCCGUAA